UGUCACAUAGCUUAAUGGGCAAAGCAGUCUUAGGCCAAAGACGAUGUUGGUUCGAGUCCAACUGUGACAGC
rnacentral:tRNA from 7 species